rnacentral:rRNA from 1 species
UGCCAGCAGCCGCGGUAAUACGGAGGAUCCAGGCGUUAUCCGGAUUCAUUGGGUUUAAAGAGUGCGUAGGCGGACUAAUAAGUCAGUGGUGAAAUCCUGCAGCUUAACUGUAGAACUGCCAUUGAUACUGUUAGCCUUGAGUAUAGUUGAGGUAGGCGGAAUGUGUCAUGUAGCGGUGAAAUGCUUAGAUAUGACACAGAACACCGAUUGCGAAGGCAGCUUACUAAACUAUUACUGACGCUGAUGCACGAAAGCGUGGGGAGCGAACAGGAUUAGAUA